rnacentral:rRNA from 1 species
GAUGAACGCUGGCGGCGUGCCUAAUACAUGCAAGUCGAGCGAACAGACGAUGAGCUUGCUCCUCUGACGUUAGCGGCGGACGGGUGAGUAACACGUGGAUAACCUCCCUAUAAGACUGGGAUAACUUCGGGAAACCGGCGCUAAUACCGGAUAACAUGCUGAACCGCAUGGUUCAACAGUGAAAGACGGUUUUGCUGUCACUUAUAGAUGGAUCCGCGCUGCAUUAGCUAGUUGGUAAGGUAACGGCUUACCAAGGCAACGAUGCGUAGCCGAACUGAGAGAGGGAUAGGCGACACUGGAACUGAGACACGGUCCAGACUCCUACGGGAGGCAGCAGUAGGGAAUCGUCCGCAAUGGGGGAAAGCCUGACGGAGCGACGCCGCGUGAGUGAAGAAGGUCUUCGGUUCGUAAAGCUCUGUUAUUAGGGAAGAACAAAUGUGUAAGUAAAUAUGCACGUCUUGACGGUACCUAAUCAAGAAGCAACGGCUAACUACGUG